GCACCUGUAGCUUAACUGGAUAUGGCGUUUGACUACGGAUCAAGAGUUUGGGGGUUCGAAUCCCUCCAGGUGUA
rnacentral:tRNA from 1 species